AGCAUGCGCAGAUUCACUUGCCGCACUGGCUAGACCACGUGUUGGACUUCUUCAGUUUUUCUUUGAGCUUCUUCUCGUUCUUUUGUUCCUUGACUUCCUAUAGAUGAUGACUCUGACUUAUAACUCCUCAGAAAUUGUCUCUCUCUGGGCUGACCAUAUGGAUAAAGUUGAAGUUAGGCUUUAUGAACCUACAUCAAUGUCUUAUUGUCAAGAAUGGGGCAAGCUUAGUGAUGCUUUAUCUAACGGGAAAGGAGCUAAUUAUAGCACGAUUCAAGUCGCUGAAGACGUUGAUUUGACUCUAACGACUAAUACAGAGACACUGGAACAAGAUGACACCCCACUAAAGAAGCUGAGGCCUCAACACAAAACGGCCUCAUGUUGUUAUAGUAAAGGAACCACUGGAGCAGAAACGGUAAGUGUCCUUACAAGGAUACUCUUGGUGUUACGACUGAGGAGUCCCUAACGAGCUUGGAGUCUUGAGUGAAUCUUUCUUAUUAACAACAACUACAUUUCUUAUCUUUCUUACGAGGGAUUUGUAAUGAGCUUGGAGUCUUGAGUGAAUAUUUUAAAAUUACCAGCUAUAUGGUAUUCAUCUAUGAAUGGAAUUUUGAGUAGAAAAGCUACGUGUAAAAACUUACCAGACUACAAUUGACGGACUUCAAGACAAUAAUUAGAAUAAAAUAAAUAAUUUAAUAACUUAUAGUACCACUCUCUCUCUCCAUCUUGUAGUUGAUGUUUCAGAAUUUGUUCAAGGGAAGGUGCUCAUUGAAGUCGUUGCCAUUAGUUACGAGGAGCCACGCCCACAUGAAAGGGACAAGGGAGAUGAUGUUAGCAGGUGUUGCGUUGAAGCUAAAAUAAAAAUAAAAUUUUCUGUUAAUAGUGUCAGUGCCUAUAUUGAUUGCUCUUUUAGUCGAAAAUUACAGGUCAAUCAGUAUUCAGGAGGUUGACUUGACCUUUGUGUGUUCCCGUGACCUUUUGACCUCUUAAACUGAAGCGACCCAUAGGAUUGACCACACCCUCUUGGACUUUUUUGCAUUCCAACAAAACCACAGGCUAGGCAGCGUAAGGGUCUUGUUGGAUACUUUGUCAUUGGGUUUGAGGUUCCCUCUUAUCCUGUGUACUACUUCAGUACUAGUCCUCAAGAUACACCCACUCACUGGCAUCAGAGGAUAUUCUUCCUCAAUGAACCCAUACAAGUUCAAACAGGUGAUCUAUUAUGUGGUUUCUAUAAGAGCAAAGAUUGUUCAAGAUCACUUAAUAUCAAGAUACAGAUGAUGUUAUUUCCACUCUCAAAAGAAUCCCAAGUACCAGAACACAUGUACACUAUCACCAUGUUUGUUUAAUUUGUCUUUGGAAUUAAUAACAUUAUUGUUAAACUCUUCGCUAAUUAAUAUUUUUUUUUUAAUAUUUAAAACAAGCAAUAAUAACAAGGCAAAUCAAUUAUAUCAAGCAUCAAUGUUAAUAUUAAAAUGAAGUCCCAGUUCAUUCCUAAUAGCUUCAAUCCAGUCCUCACCUAAAGCUAUUGCUGCAUCAGUAUAACUGCCUCUUACAGCAAUGAAUGAGCUUAAGAACUUCUGACAGUGCUCCUGCACUUGAGGU